rnacentral:rRNA from 1 species
GACGAACGCUGGCGGCGUGCUUAACACAUGCAAGUCGAACGGAAAGGCCCUGCUUUUGUGGGGUGCUCGAGUGGCGAACGGGUGAGUAACACGUGAGUAACCUGCCCUUGACUUUGGGAUAACUUCAGGAAACUGGGGCUAAUACCGGAUAGGAGCUCCUGCUGCAUGGUGGGGGUUGGAAAGUUUCGGCGGUUGGGGAUGGACUCGCGGCUUAUCAGCUUGUUGGUGGGGUAGUGGCUUACCAAGGCUUUGACGGGUAGCCGGCCUGAGAGGGUGACCGGCCACAUUGGGACUGAGAUACGGCCCAGACUCCUACGGGAGGCAGCAGUGGGGAAUAUGGCACAAGGGGCGGAAGCCUGAUGCAGCAACGCCGCGUGCGGGUGACGGCCUUCGGGUUGUAAACCGCUUUCGCCUGUGACGAAGCGUGAGUGACGGUAAUGGGUAAAGAAGCACCGGCUAACUACGUG